rnacentral:snRNA from 1 species
GGAUGUGAGAGCAACCUGGCUGCAAAAUCUGUUACCCCAUUGAUCGCCAGGGUUGAUUCGGCUGAUCUGGCUUGGCUAGGCAGGUGCCCCCUCCUCUCUUGCUGAUCCAUGUGCAUCCCUCCCCAAGCUCAGUGGAAGAUGAUGACCUUCUCCCCAGAGGAGGGUAAAAGAGUAGCUGCUGAGCUCCCCCGCUAGAAUCUCCAAAUAAGCUCUCAAAGAAGUUGACUAGUUUCCCUCACUUGUCAAGAAUUUUGUAGAAAACUUUAUUG